rnacentral:rRNA from 1 species
UACGAAGGGUGCAAGCGUUAAUCGGAAUCAUUGGGCGUAAAGCGCGUGUAGGCGGCUUGGCAAGUCAGUUGUGAAAGCCCGGGGCCCAACCCCGGAACUGCAUCUGAAACUGCCUGGCUAGAGUCCCGGAGAGGAAGGCAGAAUUCCCGGUGUAGGGGUGAAAUCCGUAGAUAUCGGGAGGAAUACCAGCGGCGAAGGCGGCCUUCUGGACGGUGACUGACGCUGAGACGCGAAAGCGUGGGGAGCAAACAGG